rnacentral:rRNA from 1 species
AUUGAACGCUGGCGGUAGGCUUAACACAUGCAAGUCGAACGGUAGCAGCUCUAGCUUGCUAGAGGCUGACGAGUGGCGGACGGGUGAGUAACGCGUAGGAAUCUACCUAAUAGUGGGGGACAACCUGGUGAAAACCAGGCUAAUACCGCAUACGCCCUACGGGGGAAAGCGGGGGAGUCUUCGGACCUCGCGCUAUUAGAUGAGCCUGCGUUAGAUUAGCUAGUUGGUGGGGUAAAGGCUCACCAAGGCGACGAUCUAUAGCUGGUCUGAGAGGAUGAUCAGCCACACUGGGACUGAGACACGGCCCAGACUCCUACGGGAGGCAGCAGUGGGGAAUAUUGCGCAAUGGGCGAAAGCCUGACGCAGCCAUACCGCGUGUGUGAAGAAGGGUUUAGGCUCGUAAAGCACUUUAAGUAGGGAGGAAGGCCUAAAGUUUAAUACGCUUUAGGAUUGACGUUACCUACAGAAUAAGCACCGGCUAACUCCGUGCCAGCAGCCGCGGUAAAGUCG